UUUUUCGCGGCUCAGUUGGUUAGAGCGCUGCACCGGAAUCGCAGGGCCGUAGGUUCAAUUCCUACCAGAGGAC
rnacentral:tRNA from 1 species